CGAAAGGGUGGCGAACGCGGAGAACUGAAACAUCUCAGUACCCGCAGGAAAGUAAAUCAACAGAGACUCCCAAAGUAGCGGCGAGCGAAAUGGGAAUAGCCCAAACCCGGUAUGUGUAAGCCUGUCAGCGUUGCAUAUCGGGGGUUGUGGGGCCUGUUUGGAGGGUAUGACAGUACCCUCGGGAAGUUAACAAGUAAUCGUAUAGCAGAACACAGCUGGAAAGCUGGGCCACAGAGGGUGACAGCCCCGUAAGCGAAAUGCGAUUGCCUUCCUGGGACAGGUUCCCGAGUACGCCGGGACACGAGAAACCCUGGUGGAACCUGGGAGGACCAUCUUCCAAGGCUAAGUACUACCUGCUGACCGAUAGCGAACCAGUACCGUGAGGGAAAGGUGAAAAGUACCCCUGUGAGGGGAGUGAAAUAGUACCUGAAACCUNGNGUCUACAAGCAGUGGAAGCACUAUGCCCUUUUNGGAANGUGCGACNGCGUGCCUUUUGCAUAAUGAGUCAGCGAGUUAAUUUNUGUAGCAAGGUUAAGCCGGAUGAGGUGUAGCCGNAGCGAAAGCGAGUCUGAAUAGGGCGUCNAGUUGCANGGAUUAGACCCGAAACCGNGUGANCUAUCCAUGGGCAGGGUGAAGCGNGAGUAAGAUCUCGUGGAGGCCCGAACCCACUNANGUUGAAAANUNANGGNAUGACCUGUGGAUAGGGGUGAAAGGCCAAUCAAACUCGGAGAUAGCUGGUUCUCCCCGAAAUAUAUUUAGGUAUAGCGUCACGUGGCAGCUGCCGGAGGUAGAGCACUGAUUGGGCUAGGGGUCCUACCAGAUUACCAAACCCAGUCAAACUCCGAAUACCGGUAAGCCAAGGCGUGGCAGUCAGACUAUGGGGGAUAAGCUCCUUAGUCGAGAGGGAAACAGCCCAGAUCGCCAGCUAAGGUCCCAAAGAUCGUGCUAAGUGGUAAAGGUUGUGGGAGCGCACAGACAACCAGGAUGUUGGCUUAGAAGCAGCCAUCGUUUAAAGAAAGCGUAAUAGCUCACUGGUCAAGCGAACCUGCGCCGAAAAUUCAACGGGGCUCAAGCACGGCACCGAAGCUGCGAAUUUCAAUGUAUUUUGAAGUGGUAGGGGAGCGUUCCAGGGCCAGCGAAGGUCGACCGUAAGGACGGCUGGAGGGCCUGGAAGUGAUAAUGCUGACAUGAGUAGCGAUAAAGCCGGUGAGAAACCGGCUCGCCGUAAGCCCGAGGUUUCCUGGGCAAGGUUAAUCCGCCCAGGGUUAGUCGACACCUAAGGCGAGGCCGAAAGGCGUAGCNGAUGGCAAGCAGGUUCAUAUUCCUGCACCAGUUNAUAUUUUGUUGAAGCUAGAGGGGACGGAGAAGGAUAGACGAGCCCACUGAUGGAUGUGUGGUUCAAACCNGUAGNGGGANCUCCUAGGACCCGUUUGGGACAAACGGGAGNUCAUUAACCUCNGAGNGGUGAUGAGAGGNNGCNGCNUUGCNAANGCCUAACUCGUUGAUUCCANNCUUCCAAGAAAAGCCUCGAGUGGAGAAUAUAUAGCUGAUCGUACCNAAAACCGACACAGGUGGNCGAGGAGAGCAUCCUAAGGCGCUUGAGAGAACUCUGGUUAAGGAACUCGGCAAAUUGGCACCGUAACUUCGGAAGAAGGUGCGCCCGUACUGGGUGAUGGGACUUGCUCCCGGAGCUCAGAGGGGCCGCAGUGACCAGGGGGUAGCGACUGUUUACUAAAAACAUAGGACUCUGCUAAGUCGUAAGACGAUGUAUAGGGUCUGACGCCUGCCCGGUGCCGGAAGGUUAAGGGGAGAUGUUAGCAGCAAUGCGAAGCUUCGAACCGAAGCCCCGGUAAACGGCGGCCGUAACAAUAACGGUCCUAAGGUAGCGAAAUUCCUUGUCGGGUAAGUUCCGACCUGCACGAAUGGCGUAACGACUUCCCCACUGUCUCGACCAGAGACUCAGCGAAAUUGAAUUCUCGGUGAAGAUGCCGAGUACCCACGGCCAGACGGAAAGACCCCGUGAACCUUUACUAUAGCUUGACAGUGACAUUCGGGAUAGUUUGUGUAGGAUAGGUGGGAGACGUUGAAACUGGAGCGCUAGCUUCGGUGGAGUCAACCUUGAAAUACCACCCUGAUUAUUCUGGAUGUCUAACCGCGCUCAGUGAAUCCUGAGCCGGGACACUGUCUGGUGGGUAGUUUGACUGGGGCGGUCACCUCCCAAAGAGUAACGGAGGUGCACGAAGGUUCCCUCAGACUGAUUGGAAACCAGUCGAAGAGUGCAAAGGCAUAAGG
rnacentral:rRNA from 1 species